rnacentral:rRNA from 1 species
AGACAGCAGUAGCCGCGGGAAUACGGAGGGUGCAAGCGUUACUCGGAAUCACUGGGCGUAAAGGACGCGUAGGCGGAUUAUCAAGUCUCUUGUGAAAUCUAACGGCUUAACCGUUAAACUGCUUGGGAAACUGAUAAUCUAGAGUAAGGGAGAGGCAGAUGGAAUUCUUGGUGUAGGGGUAAAAUCCGUAGAUAUCAAGAAGAAUACCUAUUGCGAAGGCGAUCUGCUGGGACUUAACUGACGCUGAGGAGCGAAAGCGUGGGGAGCGAACAGGAUUAGAUACCCGGUAGUCCCUGUCUCUUAUACA